GACACCUGUCUUUUUGAAAGUCAGAUGCUUACCAACCAUGUGGAUAUAAAGUCAGCCAGUUUCCAUUUUGACCACAAGUUAGAAGGAAUGGGGAACGAGAGGGGUGGCUCUUCAAAAAGGAGUAACAAAGCCAUGACCACUGAUGGGAUUACUGUCAGCUGAAUACCAUUUAAAUUGCAUUUUCUGCAGGGAGAUCAUUAAGAAUAAAGCAUGUAUAUUGUGGGGGGCGCAGGGUGGGGGUGGGAGUGGGUGGGUGGUGGGGAAUGUUAAAUCAAGCUUUUUUAAACUUCUCUCAGUUCAAACCCUGGGGAAAAGACCAGAGUUGAGGAAUUAAAAAAGGGGGGAGGCCGAGGCAGGUGGAUCACGAGGUCAGGAGUUCAAGACCAGCCUGGCCAAGAUGGUGAAACCCUGUCUGUACUAAAAAUACAAAAAUUAGCCGGGCGCGGUGGCAGGCGCCUGUAAUCCCAGCUACUUGGGAGGCUGAGCUAGCUCCAGGAGGUAUUUUCUCUCCAGGUGUACUCAUAGGUGUAGGAACUAUUUUUUCUCCAGCUCAAAUGCAAGGAGAUGAGAUCUACAUCAGUGGGUGGUACAAUCUCCCUUACCAAAGAAGCCUCAGUUUUCCACAAGAGCCAAUAUCUAUUUUUACAUUUCAUAUAUAGACCUUGGGGUCACUGAAAGAGAUGUACCAGUUACAAGGGUCACUAUACUCAGGAAAGCCUAAACUAUUACUUUCUCUCAGGUAUUUAUAGUUCUCUAAGCCUAGAUGUACUUUACCAGCUGGGGAUUAUUUUUAUCAUAAGCAAUGUUGCCUAGCAGUGUUGUUAACACAUACUGUUUUAUCUGGUAAAUACAGACCUAGGUUGUUGAUCCAGAGUCAGAGUCUCAUGGAGCAGGUGAA
rnacentral:lncRNA from 1 species